UUUAAAAUUUCUUGUUCACUAAACCCAUCAAUGUUCCAUACAUAAAUUUUAUUAGAUGAAACGGAGAACUGUUUAUCUAGAUUCCUCUCUUCGAACUGUAAAUCCAGAGGAGUGGGUCUAGAAUACCAAUUCCUAGUUAUACUGGUGUUUUUGACAGUUAACUUUUUUAGCUGAUCAUUGAAAUUUGGUAUUGAAUCAGUGUCAGAUAUGUCUGAAUCACUACUGCUUUUAUUAUCAGUUUCAGCUUGAUCAAUAGUGGCAAUUGUACCACUCGUACCAGGUUCAUUUUUUAGUUUUUUGAAUAACUUAUCAAUGGUUUUAACUAAAUUAUCAUCAUCAGAUGGUAAACCUAAUUUAUAUCUAUUUUCCGGUAAUUUUAUUAAAGGAUGUUCAAUUUUUGAAUCAGGUUUUUUAAUAAUAGACUCUUCAAAUUUUUCUUCUAUCCUAUCUAGCUGUUUUCCUACAGUUGCUAGAUAUUGAUUACUGAAGUUUAAUUGUUCUAUAAUUUUCUUAUCAUUAUUACUAGCAUCAGAAAUUUUGAAUGGACUGGCUACAACUGAAGUAUUUUUAACUGAAAUUAGAACAGUUUCUAAAGGAGGAUGACUGGAAGAAACUCUUGAUUUAUCUUCUUU
rnacentral:lncRNA from 1 species